ACCCCAUCUGCAGCAAGGACACCGGCACGCAGGUGGAGCAGCUCCUGCAGCACUAUGAGAAGCUGCAGGAGCAGGUGGAAUCCGUCAUGUGCCAGCAGGCAGCGGGCAAGGUGGCGAGGCAGCGGCAUGAGAAGAGCCAGCAGGAGGAGAAGCUCCUGAAGCACAUGCAGGCCAGCAUUGCGCCAGCUGCAAGCACAACAUGAGUGGCUGGGCUCUGCUGUGAGAGACCUCCUGGAUGGCUCUGAGAAGAAGCAGAGAGAUAUAGAGGCUCUGUUCCUGUUCCUGGAGAGGCUGGAGGAGAAGAAAGGAGAGAAGGAAGUCCUGGAAGUCGAUUCGAAAGCAACCAAAUCCACCGCGGGCAGCCAAGUCAGCCGAAGCCAGUUUGAGGCCAGCAUGGAGCGGCUGAUGGAGAUAAUAGAGAAGAUCCAGAGCCAGG